rnacentral:rRNA from 1 species
GACGAACGCUGGCGGCGUGCUUAACACAUGCAAGUCGAGCGGUAAGGCCCUUUCGGGGGUACGACGAGCGGCGAACGGGUGAGUAACACGUGGGUGACCUGCCCUUACGCUCUGGGAGUAAAGCCUGGGAAACUAGGGUCUAAUACCGGAUAUGACUCCAUAACGCAUGUUGUGGGGUGGAAAGCCUUGUGCGGCUAGGGAUGGCCCGCGGCCUAUCAGCUUGUUGGUGGGGUGAUGGCCACCAAGGCGACGACGGGUAGCCGGCCUGAGAGGGCGACCGGCCACACUGGGACUGAGACACGGCCCAGACUCCUACGGGAGGGCAGCAGU